rnacentral:rRNA from 1 species
GAUGAACGCUGGCGGCGUGCCUAAUACAUGCAAGUCGAGCGAACGGACGAGAAGCUUGCUUCUCUGAUGUUAGCGGCGGACGGGUGAGUAACACGUGGAUAACCUACCUAUAAGACUGGGAUAACUUCGGGAAACCGGAGCUAAUACCGGAUGAUAUUUUGAACCGCAUGGUUCAAAAGUGAAAGACGGUCUUGCUGUCACUUAUAGAUGGAUCCGCGCUGCAUUAGCUAGUUGGUAAGGUAACGGCUUACCAAGGCAACGAUGCAUAGCCGACCUGAGGGGGUGAUCGGCCACACUGGAACUGAGACACGGUCCAGACUCCUACGGGAGGCAGCAGUAGGGAAUCUUCCGCAAUGGGCGAAAGCCUGACGGAGCAACGCCGCGUGAGUGAUGAAGGUCUUCGGAUCGUAAAACUCUGUUAUUAGGGAAGAACAUAUGUGUAAGUAACUGUACACAUCUUGACGGUACCUAAUCAGAAAGCCACGGCUAACUACGUG